rnacentral:rRNA from 1 species
AAUUUGAAAUCUGGCUCUCUUUGAGGGUCCGAGUUGUAAUUUGCAGAGGAUGCUUUGGCAUUGGCGGCGGUCUAAGUUCCUUGGAACAGGACAUCGCAGAGGGUGAGAAUCCCGUACGUGGGCGCCUGCCUUUGCCGUGUAAAGCUCCUUCGACGAGUCGAGUUGUUUGGGAAUGCAGCUCUAAAUGGGAGGUAAAUUUCUUCUAAAGCUAAAUACCGGCCAGAGACCGAUAGCGCACAAGUAGAGUGAUCGAAAGAUGAAAAGUACUUUGGAAAGAGAGUCAAAAAGCACGUGAAAUUGUUGAAAGGGAAGCGCUUGCAGCCAGACUUGCCCGCAGUUGCUCACCUAGGCUUUGGCCUGGGGCACUCUUCUGCGGGCAGGCCAGCAUCAGUUUGGGCGGUUGGAUAAAGGCCUCUGUCACGUAUCUCCCUUCGGGGUGACCUUAUAGGGGAGGCGCAAUGCAACCAGCCCGGACUGAGGUCCGCGCAUCUGCUAGGAUGCUGGCGUAAUGGCUGUAAGCGGCCCGUCUA